ensembl:lncRNA
CCUCCUUUACGGCUCUUCACGACUCUCUCUGAUGACAAAGCAGCUGUUUGCCAUUUAAAGGUCGAAUGCCAGUAAUAGCGGGAUGGCAUUUUAUCAUCCGAAGAGCGCAAGCAGACGGGAGAUGAAAACUUGGAGGCUUGAGCCAAGUGCAAUCAAGUCCCUGGGUUGAGAAUCCGUGAAAAUAUGGAAUGUACCUUCAAUUAACCUCUCACAAAUACCUGGUCACCGGGACCGAUUCAUCUGAAGGUUGUUGCCUGGGCUAGCGAGCGUGUGCCUCCUGCCGAGAAGGAAGCAGCCUCUGAUCUUAUUCUCGCGUUCUUUCUGCUGUUGUAUUUACCUCCCUGGAUCAUUAACACGGGGCAGGAUUUGGCUUUGCAGAAAAAGGAGAGACCUUCCUUCCGCCGCGGAGGAAAUUCCAACCUACGCUACCCUGAUCUCGAUUACUCUUGGCACAGUGAUCCUGCAGUCGUUCGAGCCCAGCGUCUUGGCUAGAUACAGAACUGAAGCCUCAGAACAACGGCCUCCAAUCCCUUCACUUUGCAGUUCCUUCCUCUGCAAGGCUAUCUUCUGAGCGUGGAACAAGGGAGGAAGAAAAGAUGAUGGCCACUGUCGCUGCUGCUGCUGC